rnacentral:rRNA from 1 species
UACGUAGGGUGCGAGCGUUGUCCGGAAUUACUGGGCGUAAAGGGCUCGUAGGCGGCCAACUAAGUCGGACGUGAAAUCCCUCGGCUCAACCGGGGAACUGCGUCCGAUACUGGAUGGCUCGAGUCCGGGAGAGGGAUGCGGAAUUCCAGGUGUAGCGGUGAAAUGCGUAGAUAUCUGGAGGAACACCGGUGGCGAAGGCGGCAUCCUGGACCGGCACUGACGCUGAGGAGCGAAAGCCAGGGGAGCAAACGGG